GAGUUUGAUCAUGGCUCAGAUUGAACGCUGGCGGCAUGCCUUACACAUGCAAGUCGAACGGCAGCACGGGCUUCGGCCUGGUGGCGAGUGGCGAACGGGUGAGUAAUACAUCGGAACGUGCCCUGUUGUGGGGGAUACCAGUCGAAAGAUUGGCUAAUACCGCAUACGACCUGAGGGUGAAAGCGGGGGACCGCAAGGCCUCGCGCAGCAGGAGCGGCCGAUGUCUGAUUAGCUAGUUGGUGGGGUAAAGGCCCACCAAGGCGACGAUCAGUAGCUGGUCUGAGAGGACGAUCAGCCACACUGGGACUGAGACACGGCCCAGACU
rnacentral:rRNA from 1 species